rnacentral:rRNA from 1 species
CCCUAGUAACUGCGAGUGAAGCGGGAAAAGCUCAAAUUUGAAAUCUGGCUGCUUUGCAGUCCGAGUUGUAAUUUCGAGAAGUGUUACCCGUGCUGGACCGUGCAUAAGUCUUCUGGAAAGGAGCAUCAUAGAGGGUGAAAAUCCCGUCUUUGGUACGGACUCCCAGUGCAUUGUGGUAUGCUCUCAACGAGUCGAGUUGUUUGGGAAUGCAGCUCAAAAUGGGUGGUAAAUUCCAUCUAAAGCUAAAUAUUGGUGUGAGACCGAUAGCGAACAAGUACCGUGAGGGAAAGAUGAAAAGAACUUUGGAAAGAGAGUUAAACAGUACGUGAAAUUGUCAAUAGGGAAACGCUUGAAGUCAGUCGCGUUGCUCUGGGAUCAGCCUUCCUUUUGGUUGGUGUACUUCCUGAGUGACGGGUCAGCAUCAGUUUUGACUGCUGGAAAAAGGCUUAGGGAAUGUGGCUCCCUCGGGAGUGUUAUAGCCCUUUGUCAUAUACAGUGGUUGGGACUGAGGAACUCAGCACGCCGUAAGGCAGGUCUUCGGACACUUUCGUGCUUAGGAUGCUGGCAUAAUGGCUUUAAGCGACCCGUCUUGAAACACGGACCAAGGAGUCUAACAUGCAUGCGAGUCUUUGGGUGUCAAACCCAUGGGCGUAAUGAAAGUGAAAGUUGAGAACUCUGUCGUGGAGUGCAUCGACGCCCAGCCCAGAGCUUUUGUGACGGUGCUGCGGUUGAGCACGUAUGUUGGGACCCGAAAGAUGGUGAACUAUGCCUGAAUAGGGCGAAGCCAGAGGAAACUCUGGUGGAGGCUCGUAGCGAUUCUGACGUGCAAAUCGAUCGUCGAAUUUGGGUAUAGGGCGAAAGACUAAUC